GUGAAUUACAGGGGGAGGGGGGCAGCUACUCCAGGGGGCUAGUUACCCCCUAGUACCCUACGUGUUAUCUAUAUCAGUUCUUAAUAACAUACACGCCUAUCAACAGAGUAUGAGCGAAUGAGAUGCAAUGUUCUGCACAUCGAAUGUCAACAAUUGCGCAUGUGACAGCAGGUUUAGGAAAAGCUGUUAGUCAGCUUAUUGUGUAGAACUAGAACAGUGUGUGAUGAUACCGACAUGUACAGGGAAUGGGAUUUUGCCAAGUUCUUCUUGUUAAUACAUUUCACAGCUACUUCCAUGUCAUGCCUCUGAAAAAGGCAAAGGGAAAGACAGAAGAUGAACGCAUUGCCACUUCUUAGGCCUACUGCAGUUGUCAAUACUUCCAAUAGAUAGCGCAGCAUGAAAUACUGCAGCUUUACAGACAUGAUGUACAUUGUCAACUCAUCUUCAUCGUAAGAAGAAACAACACACAAAGAAAACAUCAAAAGAGAGAU